ACUUCUGCUACAAGGACAACACCUGCCGUCUGUACCCGGCCUCGGCGGUCCUUCCCACAUCGGAGUGUCCGCUGGCCCAGGUGCGGUGGGGUACUUGUGACGGUUUGCCUCAGCGGGUUAUACUCGGCUUGUCCGUGAGUGGCGGAGCCAUCGUGCUACUGUGUUGCGGUUGUUUGUUUCGCCGUUUUUUUUCCUGUCGUGAUAUCAACUUUCAGUUUAUUUAUCGACCCCUAUAUCAGCGCAUCUAGCACCAGCUUCUUUCGUGUGUAGUCCACCACUUACCUGUCCAGUCCAUGUAGUACGGAAAACCUCGUGGUUUAAAUAAAGAUGGCGGCGCCUUCAA